rnacentral:rRNA from 1 species
AUUGAACGCUGGCGGCAGGCCUAACACAUGCAAGUCGAGCGAGCGGCGGACGGGUGAGUAAUGUAUGGGGAUCUGCCCGAUAGAGGGGGAUAACUACUGGAAACGGUGGCUAAUACCGCAUACUAUCGGAUGAAACCAUAUGGGAUUAGCUAGUAGGUGGGGUAAAGGACCACCUAGGCGACGAUCUAUAGCUGGUCUGCGAGGAUGAGCAGCCACACUGGGUCUGUGACACGGCCCAGACUCCUACUGUAGGCAGCAGUGGGGAAUAUUGCACAAUGGGCGCAAGCCUGAUGCAGCCAUGCCGCGUGUAUGAAGAAGUCCUUAGGGUUGUAAAGUACUUUCAGCGGUGAGGCGUUACCCGCAGAAGAAGCACCGGCUAACUCCGUGCCAGCAGCCGCGGUAAUAC